UACGUAGGGUGCAAGCGUUGUCCGGAAUCAUUGGGCGUAAAGAGCGUGUAGGCGGCCGCACAGGUCCGUUGUGAAAACUGGAGGCUUAACCUUCAGACGUCGAUGGAAACCGUGCGGCUAGAGUCCGGAAGAGGAGAAUGGAAUUCCUGGUGUAGCGGUGAAAUGCGCAGAUAUCAGGAAGAACACCCGUGGCUAAGGCGGUUCUCUAGUACGGUACUGACGCUGAGACGCGAAAGCGUGGGGAGCGAACAGG
rnacentral:rRNA from 1 species